AGACAUGCAAGUCGUACGGAACUGUGAUUGGGUAACUAAGAGCAGUUUAGUGGCGAAAGGGUGAGUAAUGCAUGGGUAACGUACCCCGGGCACCGGGAUAGCAGCGCCUGCCUUCGGGCAGGCUACCGAAAGGGCUGGUAAUACCGGAUGCGGCCGAGAGCACUGUGGCGCUCUCGAUCAAAGGUGGGGACCUUCGGGCCUAGCGGCCUGGGAGCGGCCCAUGUUCCAUCAGCUUGUUGGUAGGGUAACGGCCUACCAAGGCUAUGACGGAUAUCGGGGCUGAGAGGCCGAUCCGACACAUUGGGACUGAGACACUGCCCAGACCCCCACGGGGGGCUGCAGUAACGAAUCUUCCGCAAUGGGCGAAAGCCUGACGGAGCGACGCCGCGUGUGGGAUGAAGUCCCUCGGGAUGUAAACCACUGUCAGGGCUACGGAAGCAAUCCGCAAUAAUAUGGCGGGGCGCUGACCUACCCCAAAGGAAGCCACGGCUAACUUCGUGCCAGCAGCCGCGGUAAUACGAAGGUGGCAAGCGUUGUUCGGAAUAACUGGGCUUAAAGAGCACGUAGGCGGUUGGUUAAGCAUCUGGUGAAAUCCCUCGGCUCAACCGAGGACUUGCCGGGUGAACUGGCUUACUUGAGCUGCACAGGGGCGACUGGAACUCCAGGUGGAGUGGUGAAAUGCGUAGAUAUCUGGAGGAACGCCAGCGGUGAAAACGGGUCGCUGGGUGCAUGCUGACGCUGAGGUGCGAAAGCGUGGGGAGCAAACGGGAUUAGAUACCCCGGUAGUCCACGCCGUAAACGAUGGCACUAGGUUCGGGGAAGUUUGACCUUUUCCGGGCCGAAGCAAAAGUACUAAGUGCCCCGCCUGGGGAGUACGGUCGCAAGGCUAAAACUCAAAGGAAUUGACGGGGGCUCACACAAGCGGUGGAGCAUGUGGCUCAAUUCGAGGCAACGCGAAGAACCUUAUCCUGGGCUUGACAUGGUUGGAUGCCCUUGGUGAAAGCCAAGUAAGCUGCCUUCGGGUGAAACUUCCACAGGUGCUGCAUGGCUGUCGUCAGCUCGUGCUGUGAAGUGUUGGGUUAAGUCCCAUAACGAGCGAAACCCUUGUCUCUAGUUACCAGCGGGUAAAGCCGGGGACUCUAGAGAGACUGCCGGUGUUAAACCGGAGGAAGGUGGGGAUGACGUCAAGUCCUCAUGGCCUUUAUGCCCAGGGCUGCACACGUGCUACAAUGG
rnacentral:rRNA from 1 species